UGAGGCAGGAGAAGUGUGCAGUGGCUGCCAUCAGCUUCACAGUGCUGAGACUACCCCUCCCCCGCAGCCAGGGAAGCCCUUGCACGGCAAGAGGCUGGGCCAGGCUGAUGUGCUCCACAUGGCAGGUGUGGGGGGCUGUGUCCUGUGGGGGGACUCCCACCACCACCCAGGACUGGUAGGCCUUGGCCCGCUGCACAUAGACUGCUUCUCUCUCCCACGUCUGCUUCACGUUCUGAGCUGCGGGGUCCAAGGGGA